GUGGGGAAUAUUGGACAAUGGGCGAAAGCCUGAUCCAGCAAUGCCGCGUGAGUGAAGAAGGCCUUAGGGUUGUAAAGCUCUUUUACCCGGGAAGAUAAUGACUGUACCGGGAGAAUAAGCCCCGGCUAACUCCGUGCCAGCAGCCGCGGUAAUACGGAGGGGGCUAGCGUUGUUCGGAAUUACUGGGCGUAAAGCGCACGUAGGCGGCUUUGUAAGUUAGAGGUGAAAGCCCAGGGCUCAACCCUGGAACUGCCUUUAAGACUGCAUCGCUUGAACACGGGAGAGGUGAGUGGAAUUCCGAGUGUAGAGGUGAAAUUCGUAGAUAUUCGGAAGAACACCAGUGGCGAAGGCGACUCACUGGACCGUUGUUGACGCUGAGGUGCGAAAGCGUGGGGAGCAAACAGGAUUAGAAACCCUUGUAGUCC
rnacentral:rRNA from 1 species